CCGCUUCUCCUACCUUCUACCGUCUCCAUUUUUCUUUUUGUUGCAGCCCUCUUCUUCUUCUUCGAUGGAUUACCGAGUUACUUGAAAUUUCAGCUACCUAACUAGCUAAAAUCAUAGUUUUUUUCCUGCAUGCAUGCGACACCAAGCCUUCUUCCAAUCGGUUUUCCAGCAGAACAAAUAUGGAAGAAAACUAAAACUCCAUUCCCCCUUUCUUUCCAAAAGG
rnacentral:lncRNA from 1 species